rnacentral:tRNA from 1 species
GCGGGUGUGGUGAAAUUGGUAGACACGCAGGAUUUAGGAUCCUGUGCUUCGGCGUGUGGGUUCGAGUCCCUCCACCCGCA